GUCAUGGCGUGUAACGACGGUGCUGUCAUGGCUGUUGUUUUCAUCUUCUCUGCUAAAAAUUGGUAUUAAUAAACAACGGAUGUUCGGUUCGUGGCUUUGCGAGUAAAUUCGGCUCGGCAUAUUUAAAUUGCGCAGCCCCGUUGUUCUUACCAUAGCAUACCAAACGCCAGCGCAUCACAUUGUGUUGCGUGCGAAGCAUUAACACAACAACUACAACAACAACAACAACAACAAAACAGAAAACAGAAACAAUAGUAGCAGCUCCCCACGAUGUGUGUGAGUACAGCUCGCCGGCGGCCAGAUGCUGCUAUGCGCAACAACUGCAUAACAUACGCGUGGCAGGUGUAUCGCGUGAGUAUCUCUAUCGGGGCGCACCAUUUUUGUAAGAACAAAAUAAACGGCUAGAACAUUUUACAUUAUAUUACUUUUAUGGCUAACACGACAAUACAUUUUCUGAACGUUUGUGAGUGUGAUUGUGUGUGUACGUGUGUUGUGUAUGAGUGUGGUGUUUGAAUCCAUGAUGUGCGGCUCGUGGUUUCAAUUAUUAACCUUCUAUUUUUUUUUAACUUAAAAACGUUGGCAUUACAGCGUAACUGCUGCUACUGCUCGUGUAUCUGUUCCUGCCGACAGACAGCCAACUAAUGAGGUAGCAACAGCAGCACGUGUAGCAUCAUCAACAUGAUCAUGCGUGCAUCUGUGUGUCUGUGCAAAAUGGGAAAAGGGUUGAGGAGGGGAAGGGAAAAGAUGUAAAACUCUAACACCUACCUAGAACUAGGGCCGGUAAUUUCAGAUUGCUGUACACGAAAGCAUAAUUUAUCCUACGCGCAUCCCCGCGGGGUUGUGAAGCAUCUACUACUCGCCGGACUCAUCCUUCCAUUCUUUUUUUGUUUUCUUAAACACAUGAAGCACAGCUGUAUCAAGCAUACGUGUCGUUAGGCUUUAAAAUGGUAUGUCUCGGGAGCGAGUGUGAAAGAUACACACACACAAACACAAAAAGAACAAUGGAAAACAUGAUUGAAUGUAAAAGUAAAUCUGUCAUCAACGGUUUAAUAAAUAUGAUAUGAAUACGAUCAAUCCAA